UGCAACAAAAACAAACUGUCUCUAAAAUCCACAUGUUCACAGAAAUACUCAGGCCUCUUUUGUAGCUUAUUCAUAACCACUGGUGGGUUCCCAUGGCAACUGCACUGGGUGUGUGUGUGUGUGUGUGUGGAGGGUUAGUCCAGUGCCAAUGCCGGAGCACGUACAAAGCAUAAAAUAGCAGUGGUUCGUCCAACACAGCUUCAAAAAACAGAAGUUAGCUCAGCAUUGGGACGCCACUGCGUUUUUAGAGCAGCAAACAUACACACACAAGUGUGUGCCUGCGUGUGUGUGUGUGUGUGUAGAUCACUGUGUCCUUGCAGCUGGUUGCAGCUUCUUUACCAAAGCAGUCACGUAGAGCGUCAUAGAUCAAGUGUAAAGGCUCGGGGCUUUUAUACGGCUCCUCUUGCCGUUGGCGGCGCGCUCACUUAACCCCCAUAACUUUCCAGACCCGUUCUGAACAGCAGAAACACGGUGAAGAGAGCAAAGACGGUACAUUAUGAAGGAGACGCCGAGCAGAGAUGGAGGGGCGGAAUGAUGAGAGAAAGGACGCAGAAGGUGGCAGAAUGAGAUAAGACGUGUGGAGAGAAAAGGUGUCUGCAGAUGAAGACCACAGCCAGACAGAGAUGUAAAGACAGAAAAGGAGAGGGAGAGAGAGAAAGACAGGCGGAUAAAGAGAGUCAUAUGAGGGCUGUUCAAAAAGCAGUAAACAGCAGAAGACGAGAUUGUGUUUUGAAAAGAAUGCAAGCUGGAAGAGACAUUUAAAAAAACAUAGACUGUCCAAAUGAGACAAAGACUCUCUUCUGAAAUGCUAUGAAAACAUUCCUCCAGUAUCUUAUUUCUGAGUUUCUUUAAUCAGCAUGAAUUCUCAUCCCCACUGAUCUGUUCUGUGAAUCGAUCCACCUCCCCCCACUGAGGAACAGGUGGAAGUGCAGACAGCAUUAGUGCUGAGCAGGUGAAAAACAUCAGCAUCAACCGACGGGAGACAGAGGACAGGAUCGUCUCUGACAACAUCUAGGUUUAUUCUAGACAUGUUUCCUGGUCAUCAGCUCAAUAAAAGCUCAGAAAGCAUCAAGUGAAGGGCCCUGUGGCGAAGGCGAAGCACGCACAAAGCCAGACCCCAUCGCUUCUUUUCGGAAAUGCAUGAGCUCCGCUCCAUAAGGGAAAGAAACAAGGAUGGACGCAGGGUCAGAGGGAAAACAGCGAGUCCUUUCCUGUGCUGCAGAUGCACGGACACAGCAGUGGUGAGUCAAACUGAGCCCAGCCUUGAAUUCCAGCUCAGAUCAUGUGGGCCUGUGACACCCACCUGCUAAGGAUUCUGCUGGGUGCACACACACUUAGGUUUGUAGACUGUGUGAACUAAGGCGUGUGUACACACACACAUAUAUCAUAAAUCCUCCCCCCCAAAUUUUUUUUUUGCUUAAAAAAGCAAAAGAAGGGGAAAAACAUCAACAAUC